GCCAAAUCCAUUCACUCCUCUCUCUCUAUACCCUACCCAGCAGAUUUCAUCUACUCUCCAAAUCUGAAUUAUACAGAUGAUCCUGAGGAUAGGAAGAGCA